AAGCGACAUUCUGGGUCCCGGGCAGAAAAAGUCAGGCCACUGAAGGGGCCGCUGUGAGGACAGGGGUGAGGAGAAGGGGGUUAACUUUUCGGCCUGCCUUCGCGGCGUUCCUAAUACCCGAGCUGCCGUUUAACAUACGCGUGGCUCUUCAGCUCAGCCAAGUUCAUUUUUCUGUAUGUAGCUGAAAAUGAUUCUAGAAGCAAAACUGGCUGUCCGUGUCUGAAACAGGAAACUUGCAUUCUGGAGCAAAGCUCUUUCUCAGUAGAGCAAAUCCUGCAACUGGUGUGGGCAGAAACCCAGUCCUCAGAAGUACAGGUAGAAACGUGGAGAUCCCAGCAGACCCCCGCAUCCUUCCUAACUAGGAAAUGAGCAGAGGCUGUGGCCGCACGCAGUCACGGGAGGCCUGGGUCAUUGUGUUCUCUUUCUUCUCCAUGUAUGGCCUAGAGCACCUCAUCCACUCAGAUGACUUCAUUCGUGGCUGCUACAGAAAUGUCAGCCUUUUCAGUGUAAUCUAUCUGGACAAUUCAUUGGCAUUUCAGAUGGGAAGUGUUUUUUUAAAAAACUGAUAUUUUUAAAACUUCAUCUCCUAUCCCAAACUCUCAGGCCUCUCUCCAAACCUUUCAAUUUUAAUCAAUGGCAUUUCCAUUCUCCUAGCAGACCACCCACCGUGAUCAUCUGGCUUUGUUCUUACAGAAGCCAGGUUGAAGCUACCCCAUACCCAAGUAACCCCAUCCAAUGGGAAAUUCCAAAUCAAGGCCUCCAAAGAGGGAUUUCUGUGUUUAGCUGUUUACCCACCCAUUCGGCGAGUAGCAGACCCUGACUGUGCUAGACACUGGAAGAAUGGCCGAUGGAGGAAGAGGACCCACGCCAAAGUCGAGCAGUAAAGGAAAGAGACAAACAUAUAAACGGGAGACUAUUGUAUGAUGUGAAAUGUCUGAGGCUUGGUGUAGUUGCUUCAUUUUGGUAACUCUUCUCAUUCAAGAAAUGAGUAUAAAUUCCA